ACACACACACACACACACCCACCAAAUACUACUUCUGAACAUUUACCAGGUCACUGAGAAUGUUAAAAUGAAGCAGUUCCUCCAUUUUCUGACAUCCAUUCAGAGGUGAAACAAAGCGAGGACCUACAGAAUGGCAGGUUCAUAUUGUAGGGCUCUUUUCGCACCAACACAAUAGCCUGGAACAACUCAAUAGUGGACCUUGAUAUUAACUGACCCAGAGGCCACUAAAUGUGUUCAUUUUUAUCCUCCUCUUAUUCUCCCCAUUUUUUGAGCUUGGUAUCACUCGGGCUGUCAGUGCAAAAUGGACAAAGACCAUGUUAAACUAUGAGGAGCUAAAUUAACGGUGGCGAGGUGAUUGGCUUUGCUCACCAGACCAUGUGAAUACAGCUAAUGAUUUCCACCAUUUGAAUUAAAUAGAGACCUUCCUAUCAAUGGCUCUGUGCCAAAUUCCAAGACAAAUGACAUUCAUGAAGGUGGAUUGAAAAAUAGAAAAAAAAAUGUUUAUAUCAUUUCUGUUAUCAGAGCGACAGUGGAAAUGGGAUUCACAGGGCAUGACAGGUGACUUAAUCUUGUCUUCGCUUCUUUUGGUGGUGUUGAAAUCUUUUUUUUUUUUUUUGACUUUCUUUCUAGAACCAAAAACAAAGAAAAGGAAAUUAUUUCCAUGUGACGGAGUAUGAUCUUAAUUGGCAGACUAGGACACAGACAGCACUGUAAAAGAUGACUGUCUUCUGGAUAUUUCAUAAAGAAUAAACUUACAAUUAUAUUUGUGAGAGUGUAUAAUAAUAAUAAUAAUAUAUUAUUAUUAUUAUUAUUAUAAUUCCAUUAUAAUCAUUAUAAUUAGUUCCAUUAUAAUCAUUCUCAUUGAGUAUCUGAUAUUAUGAUUUAUCAAUAAAUGGUUCUACAUCACAUCAGUUCAAAUACAAGAGUAAAUUUGUUAUAACCAUCACUACAGAGCAAUAUGCUAAAAGAGAGGUUUUCCUGACAGCUUUAUUAUCUCAUUACACCACAUGGGGAUUUGAACUACUUCCCCUUUGACCUUCUAAACUUAUUAAAUCAUCUUUAGCUGUAGUGUAUUUUUAUAUUGUAAUGCACUUUUACAAGAAAGGUUGCUUCUCUUGGAAAACCAGCAAUCUAGUAAGGUACCAUACAGCUCCUGGGUCCUGAGCUUGGAGAUCUUUCUGUGGGACAUUUUAUAUUUUCCUGUGGGUUCUCUGGUUUCCUCUCACCUCCCAGGAACAUGCCAGUAGCUGGACUGGCCUCUAUAAAUUGCCCCGAGGUGUCCCAUUCAGCAUGUGUCUCUGCCUCACACCGAGUGUUCCCAGCAUAGGCUCUGAAUCCACGGCAACCUUGACCAGAAUAAAGUGGUUACUGAAGGUGAAUGAAUGAAUGAAUCUGUUUAAAUGUACCAUAAUUCUGCUAGGAGGUGUUGGUUGUCACACACAUUGGGCCGCCUUCAUUGAUCUUUGAGUAAAGCUGUGUGUAAAUGUUUGCGUAAGCCAAAUGGAAAUAAAGAUUUACUAAAGUUUAACAUUGUAAACAUUGAUUUUCUUCAUAUUCAUGUGUGUAUAGUGUACACACAAAUGGUAAUCAUCUGUAAAUUAGAUGCCACAGAUGAUUUGUUUUUGUUGACACUACAAAACUCCAUAAAAGGACAAGUUCACAGAGUGAAAAGCACAAAACGGCCAAAAAAAGGAUUUCUCUGAGGCAGAAGUUGAGAUACUUUUGACUUGUGUCUACAAGAAUUCAAAAAUAUAUUGUUCAGCAGUGUAUCCAGUGGAGUCACAGCAUAAUCUGUAAAAUAAUAAAAAUGCUUUAACUCAUCACAAAUUAUAAGAUUCAAAGCCAAUCAGUCAAGGUUUACAUCAGUUAUUCAUCUUAUGAGUAAAUUUAGGGUGUUUUCACACUUGAGUCCUCUUUAAAAGAACUGAACUCAGACCCCUUGAAGCCAACCAAGUGAAAAAGGAUCCAGUUCUCUUCACCUUCACCCUGUCCCUGCAAGAUGACUCAUAAUUUUUUGGUCCACUUAAGCAGUAAUGGGGUCUCAGACCUCUUUGUACUGCUGCUUUUUGGGUCCGAGUCCUCUUGCACUGCUGUGCAUUGUUGUGGGUACACCAAUAUUGUGCAGGUAAAUUAAAUAGGUAAAGCAAGUUUGCAGUGAGCAUACCAUGAUCAUCUUCUAUGACAUCCAUUGGGUUUGUGCAGGGGCUUGUACCAAGAAUUUUGUCUAAAAAAAAUCAUAAAGAGGCUACUUGACAUCGGCUGACUGUCCACUGGACUGUCCACUUAUCUAGUGUUGCCACAUAUUUCUGGAGUAAUUUUUUAACUAUAACCGGCACUGCAAGGCAAUCUGCUUAAAAUCCAUUUUACAGUUUUGCUGAAAAGUGAAGAAACACUUUAGAAUUUCGGUGGGUGCCUGUCAGUGCUCAGACCAUACGCUGCACACUGCAUCAAAUUGGUCUGCAUGGCUGUCAUCCCAGAAGGAAGCCUCUUCUAAAGAUGAUGCACAAGAAAGCCCACAAACAGUUUGCUGAAGACAAGCAGGG
ensembl:lncRNA